rnacentral:rRNA from 1 species
UGGCUCACCAAGGCGAUGAUACGUAGCCGAACUGAGAGGUUGAUCGGCCACAUUGGGACUGAGACACGGCCCAAACUCCUACGGGAGGCAGCAGUAGGGAAUCUUCCACAAUGGACGCAAGUCUGAUGGAGCAACGCCGCGUGAGUGAAGAAGGCUUUCGGGUCGUAAAACUCUGUUGUUGGAGAAGAAUGGUCGGCAGAGUAACUGUUGUCGGCGUGACGGUAUCCAACCAGAAAGCCACGGCUAACUACGUGCCAGCAGCCGCGGUAAUACGUAGGUGGCAAGCGUUAUCCGGAUUUAUUGGGCGUAAAGCGAGCGCAGGCGGUUUUUUAAGUCUGAUGUGAAAGCCCUCGGCUUAACCGAGGAAGCGCAUCGGAAACUGGGAAACUUGAGUGCAGAAGAGGACAGUGGAACUCCAUGUGUAGCGGUGAAAUGCGUAGAUAUAUGGAAGAACACCAGUGGCGAAGGCGGCUGUCUGGUCUGUAACUGACGCUGAGGCUCGAAAGCAUGGGUAGCGAACAGGAUUAGAUACCCUGGUAGUCCAUGCCGUAAACGAUGAAUGCUAGGUGUUGGAGGGUUUCCGCCCUUCAGUGCCGCAGCUAACGCAUUAAGCAUUCCGCCUGGGGAGUACGACCGCAAGGUUGAAACUCAAAGGAAUUGACGGGGGCCCGCACAAGCGGUGGAGCAUGUGGUUUAAUUCGAAGCAACGCGAAGAACCUUACCAGGUCUUGACAUCUUUUGAUCACCUGAGAGAUCAGGUUUCCCCUUCGGGGGCAAAAUGACAGGUGGUGCAUGGUUGUCGUCAGCUCGUGUCGUGAGAUGUUGGGUUAAGUCCCGCAACGAGCGCAACCCUUAUGACUAGUUGCCAGCAUUUAGUUGGGCACUUUAGUAAGACUGCCGGUGACAAACCGGAGGAAGGUGGGGAUGACGUCAAAUCAUCAUGCCCCUUAUGACCUGGGCU